CAAUAGCGUAUAUUAAAGUUGUUGCGGUUAAAAAGCUCGUAGUUGGAUUUCUGCGCGGGAAGACCGGUCCGCCUUCUGGGCGAGUAUCUGGCUCGGCCUGGGCAUCUUCUUGGAGAACGUAGCUGCACUUGACUGUGUGGUGCGGUAUCCAGGACUUUUACUUUGAGGAAAUUAGAGUGUUUCAAGCAGGCAUUUGCCUUGAAUACAUUAGCAUGGAAUAAUAAUAUAGGACCUUGGUUCUAUUUUGUUGGUUUCUAGGACUAAGGUAAUGAUUAAUAGGGAUAUUUGGGGGCAUUCGUAUUAACCGGUCAGAGGUGGAAUUCUUGGAUUCGGUUACGACGAACUACUGCGAAAGCAUUUGCCAAGGAUGUUUUCAUUGAUCAAGAACGAAAGUUAGGGGAUCGAAGACGAUCAGAUACCAU
rnacentral:rRNA from 1 species